rnacentral:tRNA from 1 species
CCUUUAGCUCAGUUGGUAGAGCUCCGGACUUUUAAUCCGUAGGUCGUGGGUUCGAGCCCCACAGGGC